GCGCACCCAGAACCCUUUGUGAACUUAUACCUACCGUUGCCUCGGCGCAGGCCGGCCUCUGUCAGAGGAGGCCCCCUGGGAACAGGGAGCAGCCCGCCGGCGGCCAACUAAACUCUUGUUUCUAUAGUGAAUCUCUGAGUAAAAACAUAAAUGAAUCAAAACUUUCAACAACGGAUCUCUUGGUUCUGGCAUCGAUGAAGAACGCAGCGAAAUGCGAUAAGUAAUGUGAAUUGCAGAAUUCAGUGAAUCAUCGAAUCUUUGAACGCACAUUGCGCCCUCUGGUAUUCCGGAGGGCAUGCCUGUUCGAGCGUCAUUUCAACCCUCAAGCCUGGCUUGGUGAUGGGGCACUGCUCUCUCGCGGGAGCAGGCCCUGAAAUCNAGUGGCGAGCUCGCCAGGACCCCGAGCGAUAGUAG
rnacentral:misc_RNA from 1 species